GGGGGGGCUUACCAAUGCCAGUCGAGCGGUAGCACAGGGGAGCUUGCUCUCUGGGUGACGAGCGGCGGACGGGUGAGUAAUGUCUGGGAAACUGCCUGAUGGAGGGGGAUAACUACUGGAAACGGUAGCUAAUACCGCAUAACGUCGCAAGACCAAAGAGGGGGACCUUCGGGCCUCUUGCCAUCAGAUGUGCCCAGAUGGGAUUAGCUAGUAGGUGGGGUAAUGGCUCACCUAGGCGACGAUCCCUAGCUGGUCUGAGAGGAUGACCAGCCACACUGGAACUGAGACACGGUCCAGACUCCUACGGGAGGCAGCAGUGGGGAAUAUUGCACAAUGGGCGCAAGCCUGAUGCAGCCAUGCCGCGUGUGUGAAGAAGGCCUUCGGGUUGUAAAGCACUUUCAGCGAGGAGGAAGGUGGUGAACUUAAUACGUUCAUCAAUUGACGUUACUCGCAGAAGAAGCACCGGCUAACUCCGUGCCAGCAGCCGCGGUAAUACGGAGGGUGCAAGCGUUAAUCGGAAUUACUGGGCGUAAAGCGCACGCAGGCGGUUUGUUAAGUCAGAUGUGAAAUCCCCGGGCUCAACCUGGGGAACUGCAUUUGAAACUGGCAAGCUAGAGUCUC
rnacentral:rRNA from 1 species